rnacentral:rRNA from 1 species
GACGAACGCUGGCGGCGUGCUUAACACAUGCAAGUCGAACGGAAAGGCCCUAGUUUUGUGGGGUACUCGAGUGGCGAACGGGUGAGUAACACGUGGGUAACCUGCCCUUUACUUUGGGAUAACUUCAGGAAACUGGGGCUAAUACCGGAUAGGAGCUCCUGCUGCGUGGUGGGGUUUGGAAAGUUUCGGCGGUUGGGAAAGGUCUCGGGGCUUUUACUCUUGUUGGUGGGUUAGUGGCUUCCCAAGGCUUUGAGGGGUACCGGGCUGGAGAGGGUGACGGCCAACAUGGGGAUGGAGAUCCGGCCAAGACCCUUAGGGGAGGAAGCAGUGGGGAAUAUUGCACAAGGGGCGGAAGCCUGUGGCAGCACGGCGGCGGGCGGGAUGACGGCCUUGGGUUUGUAACCCGCUUUCGCCUGGGACGAGGCGUGAGUGACGUUACUGGGUAAAGAAGCACCGGCUAACUACGU